rnacentral:rRNA from 1 species
UACGUAAUUACUUGUGGGCGUGCGUGAGUUUCGGCCUCGCUGUUUGCAUGUUUGUGCGCUUUGGGUGUACUUUUUCGUAUGGUUGGCCAACAUCAGUUUCGAUCACUAUAAAAUGACUGGCGGAAUGUAGCUUCGAUUUCGGUUGAAGUGUUAUAGCCUCUGGUAGAUGUGGUGAUUGAGACUGAGGAUUGCAACGAAUAUCCUUUGGGCUAUCCGUCUGGCCUCUGAAAGUUGCUUGGGUGCUGAAAGCUUGCUUAUGGUUAUCUAAGUUAACGGUCAAUAGGUUAGAACGUGAUUACAUUCGUUAAGGAUGUUGACGUAA